UUCGACCUACGGGGGGCAGCAGUGGGGAAUAUUGGACAAUGGGGGGAACCCUGAUCCAGCGACGCCGCGUGAGUGAAGAAGUAUUUCGGUAUGUAAAGCUCUAUCAGCAGGGAAGAAAGAAAUGACGGUACCUGACUAAGAAGCCCCGGCUAACUACGUGCCAGCAGCCGCGGUAAUACGUAGGGGGCAAGCGUUAUCCGGAUUUACUGGGUGUAAAGGGAGCGUAGACGGCUGUGCAAGUCUGAAGUGAAAGCCCAGGGCUCAACCCUGGGACUGCUUUGGAAACUGUGGAGCUAGAGUGCUGG
rnacentral:rRNA from 1 species